rnacentral:misc_RNA from 1 species
UUUCCGUAGGUGAACCUGCGGAAGGAUCAUUAUUGUAUAAUCGAGGUGCGAGGGCUGUCGCUGACCCGAAAGGUCGUGCACGCCCGAGUGCCCUCACACACAUCCAUCUCACCCCUAUGUGCACCACCGCGUGGGUCCCCCUUUGGCUUGUUCGGAGGGGGGCUUACGUUUUCACACAAACUUUGUAUGCAGAGUAGAAUGUAUUUUUUGUUUUUGCGAUCACGCAAUCAAUACAACUUUCAACAACGGAUCUCUUGGCUCUC